GUGGGGAAUCUUCCGCAAUGGACGAAAGUCUGACGGAGCGACGCCGCGUGAGUGAAGAAGGCCUUCGGGUCGUAAAGCUCUGUCAUCAGGGACGAACGGCCGGUGGAGUGGAAAGCCACCGGAUUGACGGUACCUGAGAAGGAAGCCACGGCUAACUACGUGCCAGCAGCCGCGGUAAUACGUAGGUGGCAAGCGUUGUCCGGAAUUAUUGGGCGUAAAGCGCGCGCAGGUGGGAUCUUAAGUCCAUUUUUAAAGUUCGGAGCUCAACUCCGUGAUGGAUGGAAACUGGGAUUCUUGAGUACCGGAGAGGAAAGCGGAAUUCCCCGUGUAGCGGUGAAAUGCGUAGAUAUGGGGAGGAACACCAGUGGCGAAGGCGGCUUUCUGGACGGUGUCUGACACUGAGGCGCGAAAGCCAGGGGAGCGAACGGGAUUAGAAACCCUGGUAGUCC
rnacentral:rRNA from 1 species